rnacentral:rRNA from 1 species
GUGAGGUAAUGGCUCACCAAGGCGACGAUCCGUAACUGGUCUGAGAGGAUGAUCAGUCACACGGGAACUGAGACACGGUCCCGACUCCUACGGGGGGCAGCAGUGAGGAAUAUUGCACAAUGGACGCAAGUCUGAUGCAGCAACGCCGCGUGGAGGAUGAAGGCCCUUGGGUCGUAAACUCCUUUUUUCGGGGAAGAGAAUGGACGGUACCCGAAGAAUAAGUCACGGCUAACUACGUGCCAGCAGCCG